ACUAGUCCUCAUUUGGGGAUUUAAGGAGUGCAUUGCAACCCCUAAGUCUAAAAAACCAAGAUUUUAAAAAAUUUCCAAAUCUUGGUACCAACCACCAACUUAGUCCAGUCUCACCAACAAAUAUAGCUUGCUUUAAAAGCAACUAAAUUGAAACAUAACUUGCACCUAUAUUUUGCACUAGUCGUCAUUUGGGGAUUUAAGGAGUGCAAUGUAGCACCUAAAUCUAAAAAACCAAGACUUUCAAAUGUUUCCAAAUCUUGGCACGAAGCACCAACUUAGUCCAGUCUCACAACCAAACAAAGCUUGCUUGAAAAGAAAUUAAAUCUAAACAUUUCUUGCACCUAUAUUUUGACACUAGUUAUCAUUUGGGGAUUUAAAGAGUGCAUUCCAGCCCCUAUGUCUAAAAAACCAAGACCUUCAAAAAUUUCCAAAUCUCGGUACCAAUCACCAACUUAGUCCAGUCUCACCACCAAACAUAACGUGCUUAAAAAGCUACUAAAUUGACACAUUUCCUGCACCUACAUUUUGACACUAGUCGUCAUUUGGGNAUAUAAAGNGUGCAUUGCAGCCCCUAAUUCUAAAAAACAAAGACUUUCAAAUAAUUCUAAAUCUUGGCACGAAGCACCAACCUAGUCCAGUCUCACAACCAAACAUAGCUUGCUUUAAAAGCAACUAAAUUGAAACAUUUGUUGCGCCAUUAUUUUGACACUAGUCGUCAUUUGGGGAUUAAAGGAGUGCAUUGCAGCCCCUAAGUGUAAAAAACCAACACUUUCAAAUGUUUCCAAAUCUUGGCACAAAGCACCAACUUAGUCCAGUCUCACAACCAAACAUAGCUUGUUUUAAAAGCAACUAAAUUGAAACAUUUCUGGCACCAAUAUUUUGACAUUAGUCGUCAUUUGGGGAUUUAAGGAGUGCAUUACAGCGCCUAAGUCUAAAAACCCAAGACUUUAAAAUGUUUCCAAAUGUUGACACGAUGCACCAACUUAGUCCAAUCUCACAACAAAACAUAGCUUGGUUGAAAAGAAACUAAAUUGAAACAUUUCUUGCACCUAUAUUUUGACACUAGUUAUCAUUUUGGGAUUUAAAGAGUGCAUUCCAGCCCCUAAGUCUAAAAAACCAAGACCUUCAAAAAUUUCCAAAUCUUGGUACCAAUCACCA
rnacentral:lncRNA from 1 species